UACGUAGGGGGCAAGCGUUGUCCGGAAUCAUUGGGCGUAAAGAGCGUGUAGGCGGCCAAACAGGUCAGCUGUGAAAACUCGAGGCUCAACCUCGAGACGUCGGUUGAAACCGUUUGGCUAGAGUCCGGAAGAGGAGAGUGGAAUUCCCGGUGUAGCGGUGAAAUGCGCAGAUAUCGGGAAGAACACCCGUGGCGAAGGCGGCUCUCUGGGACGGUACUGACGCUGAGACGCGAAAGCGUGGGGAGCAAACAGG
rnacentral:rRNA from 1 species